AGUGAACGCUGGCGGUAGGCCUAACACAUGCAAGUCGAACGGCAGCACAGUAAGAGCUUGCUCUUACGGGUGGCGAGUGGCGGACGGGUGAGGAAUACAUCGGAAUCUACUUUUUCGUGGGGGAUAACGUAGGGAAACUUACGCUAAUACCGCAUACGACCUACGGGUGAAAGCAGGGGAUCUUCGGACCUUGCGCGAUUGAAUGAGCCGAUGUCGGAUUAGCUAGUUGGCGGGGUAAAGGCCCACCAAGGCGACGAUCCGUAGCUGGUCUGAGAGGAUGAUCAGCCACACUGGAACUGGGACACGGUCCAGACUCCUACGGGAGGAAGCAGUGGGGAAUAUUGGACAAUGGGCGCAAGCCUGAUCCAGCCAUACCGCGUGGGUGAAGAAGGCCUUCGGGUUGUAAAGCCCUUUUGUUGGGAAAGAAAUCCAGCCGGCUAAUACCUGGUUGGGAUGACGGUACCCAAAGAAUAAGCACCGGCUAACUUCGUGCCAGCCGCCGCGGUAA
rnacentral:rRNA from 1 species